rnacentral:rRNA from 1 species
UCGCCUGUUUAUCAAAAACAUGGUUUCUUAGGAUUAUUUAUAGGAGAUUUAACCUGCCCAUUGAAGUAUUUAAAAGGCCGCAGUAUAUUAACUGUGCAAAGGUAGCAUAAUCAUUAGUCUUUUAAUUGGAGGCUGGAAUGAAUGGUUGGACGAAGAAAAAACUGUUUCUUAUGAAUAAAUUUAUUGAAUUUGAAUUUUAAGUAAAAAGUCUUAAUUGUUAUUAAGGGACGAGAAGACCCUAUAGAGUUUAAUAAAUUGAUUAGAUUUAAUUUAGUUAGUAAUUAAUUUUAUAAUAUUUUAGUGUUUAUUAGGUUGGGGUGAUUUUAAGAUAAAUAAAACUCUUAAUUAUUUUUAAUUAAAUUGGAAGAUUUCAGAUCCAUAAAUGUUUGUGAUUUUAAGAUUAAAUUACCUUAGGGAUAACAGCAUAAUUUUUUUUGAAAGUUCUUAUUGAGAAGGAAAAUUGUGACCUCGAUGUUG